rnacentral:rRNA from 1 species
GAGUUUGAUCCUGGCUCAGAUUGAACGCUGGCGGCAGGCUUAACACAUGCAAGUCGAACGGUAACAUGAGUGCUUGCACUUGAUGACGAGUGGCGGACGGGUGAGUAAUGUAUGGGGAUCUGCCGAAUGGAGGGGGACAACAGUUGGAAACGACUGCUAAUACCGCAUAAAGUUGAGAGACCAAAGCAUGGGACCUUCGGGCCAUGCGCCAUUUGAUGAACCCAUAUGGGAUUAGCUAGUUGGUAGGGUAAUGGCUUACCAAGGCGACGAUCUCUAGCUGGUCUGAGAGGAUGACCAGCCACACUGGAACUGAGACACGGUCCAGACUCCUACGGGAGGCAGCAGUGGGGAAUAUUGCACAAUGGGGGGAACCCUGAUGCAGCCAUGCCGCGUGUAUGAAGAAGGCCUUCGGGUUGUAAAGUACUUUCGGUGAUGAGGAAGGUGGUGUAUCUAAUAGGUGCAUCAAUUGACGUUAAUUACAGAAGAAGCACCGGCUAACUCCGUGCCAGCAGCCGCGGUAAUACGGAGGGUGCGAGCGUUAAUCGGAAUGACUGGGCGUAAAGGGCAUGUAGGCGGAUAAUUAAGUUAGGUGUGAAAGCCCUGGGCUCAACCUAGGAAUUGCACUUAAAACUGGUUAACUAGAGUAUUGUAGAGGAAGGUAGAAUUCCACGCGUAGCGGUGAAAUGCGUAGAGAUGUGGAGGAAUACCGGUGGCGAAGGCGGCCUUCUGGACAGAUACUGACGCUGUGAUGCGAAAGCGUGGGGAGCAAACAGGAUUAGAUACCCUGGUAGUCCACGCUGUAAACGAUGUCGAUUUGGAGUUUGUUGCCUAGAGUGAUGGGCUCCGAAGCUAACGCGAUAAAUCGACCGCCUGGGGAGUACGGCCGCAAGGUUAAAACUCAAAUGAAUUGACGGGGGCCCGCACAAGCGGUGGGGCAUGUGGUUUAAUUCGAUGCAACGCGAGGAACCUUACCUGGUCUUGACAUCCACAGAAUCUUGCAGAGAUGUGAGAGUGCCUUCGGGAACUGUGAGACAGGUGCUGCAUGGCUGUCGUCAGCUCGUGUUGUGAAAUGUUGGGUUAAGUCCCGCAACGAGCGCAACCCUUAUCCUUUGUUGCCAUCGGUUAGGCCGGGAACUCAAAGGAGACUGCCGUUGAUAAAGCGGAGGAAGGUGGGGACGACGUCAAGUCAUCAUGGCCCUUACGACCAGGGCUACACACGUGCUACAAUGGCGUAUACAAAGGGAGGCGA